rnacentral:rRNA from 1 species
GGCCCAGACUCNUACGGGAGGCAGCAGUAGGGAAUCUUCCGCAAUGGACGAAAGUCUGACGGAGCAACGCCGCGUGAGCGAUGAAGGCCUUCGGGUCGUAAAGCUCUGUUGUUAGGGAAGAACAAGUAUCGGAGUAACUGCCGGUACCUUGACGGUACCUAACCAGAAAGCCACGGCUAACUACGUGCCAGCAGCCGCGGUAAUACGUAGGUGGCAAGCGUUGUCCGGAAUUAUUGGGCGUAAAGCGCGCGCAGGCGGUCCUUUAAGUCUGAUGUGAAAGCCCACGGCUCAACCGUGGAGGGUCAUUGGAAACUGGGGGACUUGAGUACAGAAGAGGAAAGCGGAAUUCCACGUGUAGCGGUGAAAUGCGUAGAGAUGUGGAGGAACACCAGUGGCGAAGGCGGCUUUCUGGUCUGUAAC